GUUGAGAGAGCUGGCCACACCACCUGUCACACAUAUUUGAAGUUUCUCCAAGCACUGGAUCUACCGGCGACUGCAGUCUUAUCGGUGGCACGACCUGCCUGGCCGGUGGAGGGAAUUACUCCUUUCGUACCCUAACGAGCUGUAUCUGGGACAGUUGAUUCACUUAACCUGAAAGGAGUGACUGCAAACUUAUGUCUCUCAUUUACAUGUUUUAUUUAUUUUAUGUUAAUAUAGGUUUACUAUUGUUAGAUGUACUUGCAGUGCAUAGUAAUGUUAUACUCAUCCUGGUUCUGUAAGCAAUCAGAUUAAUGGAUGACUCUGUUAAUACCCCCUCCCUUACCCCUCAACGUGAAAAACUCACCAUUAGCCCUUAAUAGCAUUUACCUGCACGUUAGGCAUUUAACCC